AGUACAGUUUGGUUGCUAUGUGCAAUUCCAUAAUCCAGCUAACCACUCAGCUAUGCCAGCUUUAUGGUUGCUUUGCUUCAUGAGGUUGGUGCAAAGCAGCCAGAUUGUACCAGCAAAUCUGGCCCAUGGUGUUUAAGAUAUUUAGAGUCCAUAGCCAAAACAACAGAGUUUGUGGCUGUACCAGCACCAAUAUAUACCACUUUGAAGAUUCAAUCAACCACAGUAGACUAAUAUCCAUCAGAGACAUCUACCAGACAGAAACUACACAUUGUGGAGUUGACACACACUAGCUUGCACAGGGGCAUAGUUAAGUUCUGUAGCCAGCAGUCCAGAGUACCCACAGAGAGCACUCGGCAUGACCAUACACUUUGAGGCUUUUUGUUUUGCACUUCAACUUCCAGGUUGUGUUAACACACCUCCAUGUAGCCUUAAGGACAGAAGACUUGAUACAACAGAAGCUCACCAAAGAUGGUCACAGGCUACCUUAAUCUAUGCUGAGAUGCAGGCCAAUACAGAACUGGUGCCAGAAUCAGAAUAUUGCAAAUGACUCCCUUACAGGCUCAUAUUCCACUGCAUCAAGUGGAAACUAGAGG